GGAGUCUGGGCCGUGUCUCAGUCCCAAUGUGGCCGUUCAUCCUCUCAGACCGGCUACCGAUCGUCGCCUUGGUAGGCCGUUACCCCACCAACCAGCUAAUCGGACGCAGGCCCAUCCCCCAGCGAUAGCUUAUAAAUAGAGGCCAUCUUUCAAAGAACCACCAUGCGAUGGCUCCUUCGUAUCCGGUAUUAGCAUCCCUUUCGGAAUGUUGUCCCCGUCUGGAGGGCAGGUUGCCUACGCGUUACUCACCCGUCCGCCACUCAGUCAGUCCUCCGAAGAGGACUGCUUCGUUCGACUUGCAUGUGUUAGGCACGCCGCCAGCGUUCAUC
rnacentral:rRNA from 1 species